UACGGAGGGGGCUAGCGUUGUUCGGAGUUACUGGGCGUAAAGCGCGCGUAGGCGGACCUGCAAGUCGGGGGUGAAAGCCCGAGGCUCAACCUCGGAACUGCCUUCGAUACUGCGGGUCUCGAGUCCGGGAGAGGUGAGUGGAAUUCCUAGUGUAGAGGUGAAAUUCGUAGAUAUUAGGAAGAACACCAGUGGCGAAGGCGGCUCACUGGCCCGGUACUGACGCUGAGGCGCGAAAGCGUGGGGAGCAAACAGG
rnacentral:rRNA from 1 species